AAAGUGUUUUGUGUCCAGGGAUGUUAUAUUUCAUGAGACUUGCUUUCCUUUUGGAACUGCUUCUCCUGUUACCCCUGAUACUUCUGUUUCUCCCUUUUCUACUCCUUUUGUUCCUUGUCCUGCGCAUCCACUUUCUGAGACAGGCUUGUGUUUUACAAUUGGUUUCUCUCUCCCUUCUCAUUCUGCUCCUUCUUCUUCCUCCUCCAG
rnacentral:lncRNA from 1 species